rnacentral:rRNA from 1 species
CAGUAGCCGCGGGAAUACGAAGGGGGCUAGCGUUGUUCGGAUUUACUGGGCGUAAAGGGCGCGUAGGCGGACUGAUAAGUCAGGAGUGAAAUCCCAAGGCUCAACCUUGGAACUGCCUUUGAUACUGUUUGUCUUGAGUUCGAGAGAGGUAAGUGGAACUGCGAGUGUAGAGGUGAAAUUCGUAGAUAUUCGCAAGAACACCAGUGGCGAAGGCGGCUUACUGGCUCGAAACUGACGCUGAGGCGCGAAAGCGUGGGGAGCAAACAGGAUUAGAUACCCGAGUAGUCCCUGUCUCUUAUAA